rnacentral:pre_miRNA from 1 species
UUUUCUACAAAUCAGAAUGACUUGAAAUUUAGAGCGCGUGUUCAUAAAAAAUAGGCGAAUCUACGAAAAAUAUCAAAAAAAUAUUUUAUAUGAAAAAAAUGAUCAAAAUACCCCCGAAAAUUUUCGGGGGUAUUUUGAUCAAUUUAUUUUAGUUAAUUAUUUUAUUUAUAUUUUUAUUAGGUGCGCCUCACUAAGAUGUACACAUGCUCCAAAUUUCAAAUCAUUCUGAUUUGUAGAAAA